CGAAAGUGCGAAACGCUUUACGAAAAACAUCGGCAAAGAAGCAAACGCGUCUGAUUCUCAGUGCUCAUUACGACGCACUGUUAAUUGUAUAAUUGGUGUCGGCAAUUACGAACAAAGGGACGCCGGCUUACAAUAGUGGCUCCAAUGACGUCAACAUCCAAUAAUUCGGCACGCGACGACAAUAGCGCGCGUUGUACCGCCACGCCAUUGCGCAAAUAGCACGAAUCGCAAUUAAAGGCGAUAAUUUCGUAAUUAGCUUUCCGUCCUGUCAUCCACGUUAUAUCAAAGCUUUCGACAAUUACACGACAAUCCGUCGAUCUUCUGUUUCCAACGAUAAAAUCAUUCGAUUUUAUUUAUUGAAAAAGAAUCGAUCGAUCAACAAUUUCAACCUAAAGUAUUUUCCAAUAAAAAAUAAGGGAGGAAAAUAAUCUAUUUCCGAUAACAACUCUUACAACGCAAAGCUUUAGUUCGUCGCCUUGCAAUGCACUGUGAUUGGCGCUCGGAUAAUCGACGCGAAUAACGGAAUUACGAGGGCGACCGCAUGGCCACAUACCAAAGAAAGUCGAUGCACAUGCCGCAACCCAUAAUUGAAGUAAGAGUUACAUAAAGAUAUGACUUGUCUGGGACUUUUAGAAGUGAGAACUUUAAAAUAGAAAGAAAAAAAAAGAAACAACAAGAAGGGAUCACGCGAUCGUAAAAACAACGAUUCGUUAUCCACACUGUAUUACAUAAUGCAAAUGUUACACUACAUAAGUAAAUACAAUAUAUACAUAUAUAUAUAUAUGUGUAAGUGUAUGGCUUGAUAAUAAUGUAAGUACGUUGCGGCUGCGAUGACUAUAUAAUGUACGAUUAGAGCUGUUAAGCUGAGUAUGCCUAACUCAAUACAUCUCCAUCAAUUCUUGAAUAAAUCCUGUUAGCAUAACUCGCCCUGUUUACCACAUUGUCUCGAGAGCAAUUCAAUAAAGUACGUUAUUAUAUUCGAUCAGAAAAAA
rnacentral:lncRNA from 1 species